AAUAUCAAAGAAUGAAGAAAGAAAGGCAGAAACGGAAUGACAGAUUCUUCAUACUCUGCUGCGGUUCCAUUCUUUGCAUUGUUUUAAUUUUCGUUUCU
rnacentral:ribozyme from 16 species